CCCAUCUCCCUCCAUUGUUAACAACUUCAAGCCUUGAACCACCUCAAUUCUUCCAUAAAUCAUCUAGUCCCUUAAGUAAAAACUUGAUUUUUGAUUAUGAAAAGAAGAUAGGAAGCAAGAGAUUGAAGGAAAAUUGAAGAUUGUGAAGUUGGGAAAGUUGUCAAGUUAGGGAUGGCAUCAUGUUGUGCAUGGUACAAUUGAAGAACUUGAGCUCUUCACCAAAGUAUUUGAGAGGUGGGAUAUUAGCAUGAAAGAUCAACUUCCGAAUUAUAUGAAGGUAUAUUGUGAAGCAUUUUUAGAUUUCUAUGCUGAAAUUGAGGCAGUAACUACAAAGGAAGGGAGGGCAUUCUGCAUUCACUACGCAAAGGAAGCGGCAAACUUUCACCUCUUUUAUAUAUAUUUUUUUAUGGAUAUUCUUGUCUAGAAUUAGUGUACUCAAGAUAAUAA